UAACGGCAUGUACUGUCNGGCUGGGUCUUACCUCUUGGUGAGCCGGUGUGCCCUUUAUUGGCGUGCAUUGGGGAACCAGGACUUUUACCUUGAGAAAAUUAGAGUGUUCAAAGCAGGCCUAUGCCCGAAUACAUUAGCAUGGAAUAAUAAAAUAGGACGUGUGGUUCUAUUUUGUUGGUUUCUAGAGUCGCCGUAAUGAUUAAUAGGGAUAGUUGGGGGCAUUGGUAUUGAGUCGCUAGAGGUGAAAUUCUUGGAUUGACUCAAGACCAACUAUUGCGAAAGCAUUUGCCAAGGAUGUUUUCAUUAAUCAAGAACGAAGGUUAGGGGAUCGAAAACG
rnacentral:rRNA from 1 species